rnacentral:rRNA from 1 species
UGCUGGGCCAUUACUGACGCUCAUGGACGAAAGCCAGGGGAGCGAAAGGGAUUAGAUACCCCUGUAGUCCUGGCCGUAAACGAUGAACACUAGGUGUCGGGGGAAUCGACCCCUUCGGUGUCGUAGCUAACGCGUUAAGUGUUCCGCCUGGGGAGUACGCACGCAAGUGUGAAACUCAAAGGAAUUGACGGGGGCCCGCACAAGCGGUGGAGUAUGUGGUUUAAUUCGAUGCAACGCGAAGAACCUUACCAGGGUUUGACAUCCUGAGAACCUCUUAGAAAUUUGAGGGUGCCUUCGGGAAUUCAGUGACAGGUGGUGCAUGGCUGUCGUCAGCUCGUGUCGUGAGAUGUUGGGUUAAGUCCCGCAACGAGCGCAACCCACGUUUUUAGUUGCCAGCAUUUAGUUGGGCACUCUAGAAAGACCGCCGGUGAUAAACCGGAGGAAGGUGUGGAUGACGUCAAGUCAUCAUGCCCCUUACACCCUGGGCUACACACGUACUACAAUGCUACGGACAAAGGGCAGCAAACUCGCGAGAGCUAGCAAAUCCCAUAAACCGUGGCUCAGUUCAGAUCGUAGGCUGCAACUCGCCUACGUGAAGUAGGAAUCGCUAGUAAUCGCAGGUCAGCAUACUGCGGUGAAUACGUUCCCGGGCCUUGUACACACCGCCCGUCACACCAUGGAAGUUGGCCAUGCCCGAAGUCGUUACUCC